CGUCAGCGUCAGUUCAGUUCGGUACCUCGGUCCAGACGGACCCGUGUCGUUGAGGGCGAUUUUCCGAGUCCAAUUUCUCGAUCUUGUGCGAGGGGUAUCAGUUCGUCACGCUGGAUUGAAAAACUGUGCGCGACUGGAAUACGACAUCUUCCCUUCCACCUAGUGUUGAUAUAUUUUCUAACCCUUCAGAUCCCUUAUUUUUCGGUCAUCAUCCUAUUUUUAUCGAGUCCCUUAAUUUUUGGAACGACCCUGCAAGAUUGUAUGUUUUUUGUUGUUGUUAAAAAAAGUCAGCUAUUUUUAAAAUCGUGGAUAUUGUACCGGUAGAAGUGUAUCGGAGUAACCUAGUGGUGCAUGAAUGAAAAUCGACGUUCCGCCUACUACAAAUCGAUCUAUCACCAAUCGAUGAAGUCUUCGCUACGUUCGUUGUGAUUCACAAGUGUAUAAAUGCUCUUGAUUGUUUGAGUCACAAGACAAGUUGUAACGCGUGCUAAGGGGUGAAAGUGCUGCGAAAUAAAAUUACGUGAACUGGCGAUAUAGUGGUGUGAACACGUGUGCCUGGGGAAGUUGUGAUUUUAAAUUUUUUGAUCAUUGCGUGUAACGAAAAUAAAAUAAUCCGUACGCGGUUUAAGUAUUGUGAACAAAAAUUAGCAUCCGGAAGCGUGUCCCCCCCCCCCAAAAAAAAAAUUCUUUACUCUAUGGUGCUAUUUAUACAAGUUUUAGUUUUUCUUCACAAGUUCUGAGAUAAUUUCGCGAUCGAACAGCUCUCUUAAUAAUGAAUUUUGCGCGGUUAACUCGUAUUUACCUAAUCACUCACAUUGGAUACGGCAAUAUUAUCAAGUGAACAAGAUGCCUGCGGAGUUUCGCACUCUCCACGGAUGAAGAAGUGAAGGCUUCACUUCUUUUCAAGAUUGCCUCUUUGAGAAGGCUACUUUGUUUUUCCGAUACACAGGUUGCAUCGUGCUGUCCCCGAGAAUAUGACAAAGGAAUCGUACGCCUACAUUCUACCUUGUCUCAAAUACGUCCAAGCCGAACGAUGAGGACAAAUAUCGAGAGUUCCGCAUCAGAAAAAAUAGGGAACUUGCCAGGUCGAGAGAACAGGACGACGACAGCGAUUAAUGAUCAAACACAAGGGUUCUGUAGGGUUCUUUCCACAUUCCUCCUUGAGGGAACCUAGCCUGCAAAUUUGGAGCACCUCGAGCAAGAAUCAAAAAAUAAUCUGGUUGCGGAAGUUAUCAGGAUGAGAGCUGUCAAAGUAGCUAUAAUGGGCUAUCCCUCCAAAACCCCUCUUUUUGAUCCAGGCUGAUUGUACUUUGAUCAAAUUACGUUGAAUGAAUGCUGCUUUUUAAUGAACGUACAAAGUUCCAGAAUGAAAAGUUGGAAACCACAUAACUUGCAGGAUCAGUGAGCAUGAAAUUCCUUUUGAUCAACCAAAUGGCUUUAACUUCCAAGGGCUCUGGUGACUAAAGCCUAGAUCCUGGGUUGUAUAUGCACGCAAUGGUCAACCGAAAAUGCCUCACGGAGAAGAAAUGUAAAAUCAGCAGCUCUACUUAUGGAACCUCCUAGAUUGAGUGACUGAUUCAUUACUCACUGCUUAGGAAAAACAAAGCCACUGUUGCUUGUUCAAGUUCAGUCCACUUUUCCCAGCUGGAUCUUACUGACUGCUGAAACUCAAUUAAAGACUUACAUAUGAGAGAUGACUCUUUGCUCCUGACUGAUUUUGAUGAUGGUUGAAGUAGGAAAAUGCUCCAGCAAAGUCAUUGUGGUUGUGUUGGCAGGUAAAUUCCCAACGUAUAAUCUGUAAGAAUAAUCCGCUUUUAGAAAUAACGUAUUUUGUAAAUUCUGAUCAUGAUUCUUAAGUGGCAUUGGAUGACUCCUACGUUAUCUUAAACUCAAUGGACAAUAAUUUCAGAGUAGUGCUUUAUCUCAUGACGUGGGUAAAAAAUGGAUUUCAGAGUGACAAUAUCUUUAUUCUUCAUUAAUUUUUUGAUACUCUUCGAUGUCGAUAUCAACACACCAAUUCAGGAGCAAAAAACACAAGCCAUUGUUUAUUUAAUAAUAGAGAUUAAUCGCAAGAGAGAAAGUUCAUUUUUGAGCACUCGCAUAAUUAUAAGGCACCAGUUAUACAAAGCUCCCUAUGGAUGAUGCUUUUUAUCUGAAUAUAUCAUACUCUGAAAUCUAUUAUCAAAAACAAAUAAAAAGCAAGUAAUAUUUACUGCAUCUGAGUUGUUGGACAUUGUUAGGAGCAAUAUUCUGAUGUCCUGAAUUACAAAAGUUGGCGACUGGAGCCCUUUUACCUACUCAAGGAAUUAAUAGGAUCGCUUUUCUCUGACAUGAAAAGAAAGACGGGAAGAGUUAAACAGGAGAGAUUUGAAUCAGUAAAUUUUAAGCUCAUCAGCCUUUCAAUUUUGAUCUCACUCUUUGCUCAUGUUCAGGAUAGAUUAAUUUUAAAACAAUUUCAUAUUGAUGGGGAUUAUGGAAAACCAGGGAUUUUAUUAGUCUUUAGUCACUUUUAUCCUCACAUCAGGAGCAGACUCAUUUUUAAGCGUAGCGUUCAGAAAGCUUCAUGCUCAAGUUCUUGCCAAAUGAAAACGAUUGGGCACGGACACUUUCAUUGCUAUGGAAGUCAUAAAAUUUAGGAGUUAGAUAAAAAUCAAUCAUUCUCUUUGGAGUAGAUGUUGGUUUGUUAAAUUAUUAAAUAUGCUUGCACUAUUUUCCAUGAGGUAUAACUGGGUUAUCUUACAAGAUUGCAGAAAGUUCUUAGCCUUUACAAUUCAAGAUCCCUUUUUUCUUCAAGACCUUAAAGGUGGAGUUUUUCUUUUGGUUUUUGCUCUUUACAAUUUUAUAAAUUGCUGGGAUUUUGUGAGAAACAUACAAUUUAAGCACUGACGCAAGCCAACUUUCUGUUUUCAAGAUCUCAUUUUACAUCCUUUCCAUUUUAAAAUAUUGUUUUUGGAACCCUCUCGUUACUGCAUACUUUCGAUCUCCACAAGACCAAGAAGUUUCUGCUUUCCUGCAAUCUCAGUUAUAAUAUCAAAGCAAUAUGUAAUUAUAUUAGAGGCGCACAACCAAGUUUGUAAAAUGUAAACCAAAGUCAAAUUAUUCAAUUUCAAGUAACAGAGUUUCUUUUUUAAAAGCAUUUCAUUUGAGUAUGAAACUUUUACACCAAUCUGGUUGAGUUUUGCAAAAAAGAAGAAGCUUUAAUAAUUGGGUUUCAUACUGAGGCAGAAAAAUGCAUCAUUUAUCAUUCUUUGUAGAAAAAUGAUGCACAUUGCCAUGAGAGCUUGGAGAGUCUAAGAUCAAGAGAAGUAGUUUUUAUUUUCUUAAAUGUCUGCUAGGACUCACUCAUUGGAUUCUUACAAUUCCGCAAAUUAACUUCUGCUAUGACUUUGACUUAAGCAUCUCAAAAAAUAAGAUAAAAAUUUUAAUCAAAAAAGAAUUAGGGAGUAUUUUUAGCUUUUGAACCCACCACUAGAUUUCUAGAAUAGAGGCGUCAAAAUUGUUAAAUGACAAAGCAGUCAUUUGCAAGGCAAUGAAAAAGAGGUUUGCAUUUUCAAGAAAGAUUAGCUUGGUUUAUUACCAAUUGGCGGUUGAAAAAAUAACACUCGCCAAAUUAACCCCGCUAAAAAUAGUGUAAUUUUAGUUUAUCAGCUGUACAAAAAAGAACGGUGUAUUCUUCUAUCAAAACACUAUUCAACAUUUUCUAUUUAAUUCGGAGUUUACUAAAUUUGCCUUUUUUGAUGCUCUGUAACCCUGGUUAUGUUUAGGGUAAAGAGUGUGCAUUCUUCAUGAAAAUUUUCAUCAGUUGAUUAAUUUAAUCUGUUUCUAAUUAGAACUCAUUGAAUAUUAAAAAAAAAAAAAAAAAAAAAAAAAAAAAAAAAAAAAAAAAAACCUAUGAUUUUACUGUUAAUCUCCACCGAGCACUUCUCUAGUGCAAAUGUAUUAGAGCUUCCUGUUUCUUUUUACUUCUUCUUUUUUCGUUCACUCGGUGUAUAAUUUUCAAUUAAUCAGAAGUUAAUGUUUUCAUUGAUUAUGAAGUCUGUAAGAACCACUUUGUUACAAAGGAAAGAGGGAAAAAGGACGAAUAGGAUUACUCAAAGGAGUACUCGUACUUGAAAUUCUUCAAAAUUAAGGGGAAAAAUUUCUUUUCCAUCAUGAAGAAACAUUUCAGCUCCUGAGAAUCUGAAAUAAUUAAUGACCCAUGGUUUUCACUCCUCUCGAAAAGACAGUCAGAGUUGCAUGAUUUUGCACGCCCUCCCCCUUUCCCUUCAGUUUAAUUUUUACAGACAGCUUUGUUUCGGUGGAACCUUGGGACGAUGGGAACUUCUCGAUGUAGGUAACUAGCAAAAUUCCAAAAUAAAUGUUAUGCACUUUUUUCAUUGAACUAAAUCUCCUCAAAUAUGCACUUAGAUCAAGGUGGAGGCUGCAUCCAUGUCAAAACUGAGGUGAGGAAAGGAGAUAUGGGUAUUAGAUGUUUGACUACUAAAUUACUUGUACUAUGUACUGUGUACUAGUACUAUGUUUGCAUGAUCUGUUACUUUUUUAUUCCAUCUUGACUGCCAAUGCGAUCCGUUAGAUUUACAUCAAUGCCUUGUAACCCCCAAUAAUCGGCUUGUAUAUUUCAGUGCACAGUAAAGAUAAAGAUUGAACUGUGCAUCAAAGCAAAAGCUUACUGAAAUAUUUAAAAAUCAUUCCUCAAGUUCUUUCACAGUUCUUGAAUUCAGAACCAAAAAUGGGUGCAUAGUAAUUUGAUUGAGCUCCUUAACAGUUGUAAGAGAUGUUAAAAUAUGCGAUGAAUUCUCUUCAACCAAUGAAAUUAUCUUUUAAUAACUAUGAAAGAAUAUUUCUCCUUUAAAGAAACCCAACUUGAUUUAUUGGAAAAGUGGUUUUCUUUUGCAUACAGCCUAUGCUGAGUCAAUUCUGAGAAAAAUAUCAUACACAUUUUGCAUUUCUCAGAGUAGAUUCAUGGUAGGUAGCUCUGACAGUGCUAAUUAUUUACAGGACUAAAUUGGAAAAUUUAUAUUCCCUUAGAACUCAGAGGAUAUACUGACAAUAUUUUGCAUUCUUUUGAGUAAAUACUAACCACUGAUUCAGAAAACUACAAGUGCGCAAGUUUUGUGGACUUUGAAGAUUAAAGAUAUGAUUUUGUAUUCUUCAGAGUUAAAAUUCCAAAACAGUGAGACAAAGAGUGAACUGAGUGCUUCAAUACUUGAUACACUUGCCUCCAUGAUUUUAUCCUACUUUUUUUUCCUUAAAGAGGAAGACAAAACAUGGAAAACGUAUUCUUUGAAGUAUUAGUAAGUCCUGAAAUUUCAAGUUUGACAGGCAAUUGAAGGAAUGCUAAAAAGUGCAUGAGAGUGAAAUUUUUACCUCAUCUCCUUUUUGUGUUUUGAUUCCUAACAAGUUUUACAGUAUUAAAGCUGAUCACUAUUUUUAAAAUAUAACUCUUUUUUACAGCUAAAAUGAGAAGUUGAAAGAAGAAUCAGGUGUCAGAAGAGAGAUCGCGCGUACAAAGGAAAAAAAGGUGCCCAGUACCUUUGAUCGCUAGGAGCUUGGAAAUGUACUGAUUUGAUAUCUGGAUGAUAUCGCUGUACGAUACUUUUUGAAAGGUCAGGAUCUGGGAAACGGAUGAUGACUGUCUUUUCUGUCCGCUCGUUCAUCAGAUCUGUUUCAACUGUCAACGCCUUCACAGCAUCUUCUUUGUUCCAAGAUACUCAAAUUACGACUUUCAAAUACUCCAGGAUAUUUUUCUUCAUUGCAGCAUACUUAAAAGGCAAAUGUAAAAUUAAGACAGUUGUUCACUAGACAGGGUACCGGAGGUCGACUAUAGGGAGAGUUCCUCUGAGAACUAGUGAGCUGAACACCCCCAUUGGCCCAGGGCAUCUGCAUACUGUAACUAGCGACAGAUGCAGCAACUAAUGGCUGCUGUGAUUGUUGUUGUGACAGUUGCUUUUGUUGCUGUUGCAUCUGUUGUUGGAUUUGCUGAUGCAUCUGCUGUUGCUGCUGCAUUUGCUGCUGGUGCAUCUGUUGCUGCUGCACUUGCUGACACAGCAGUCCCUGCCAUUCUGCACUGAUACCCCAGUUUGCUGCUCCAGAGGCUGUCGAUAUCGGCGGUGGAGGAGGUGGGCCCAUCAACAUUGGAGGUGGCGGCAUUGAGUACUGAAAUGGAACAAGUUGUACUGGAGACAUGACGAGAGGGAGCCCGUUAUCUGUCAUCUUGAAAAUAACUGUUCAAUCUGAAAACAAAAUAUAAUGAAGUUUGAUUCGAAGCUCAUUGUAAGACUUUUCCACUGCUUGUGCAGCACAUUUUGAGGUAGAUUUUUUAAUUUAGAUGACAGUAGCACCAAUUUUGUGGGAACUUUUAUGACGAAAAUUGCAGUAAACAGUAGUAUUGGUGUUUUUGUAGUUGAAUUUUGUUGCAACAUUCUCUCCUCAGCAAAUUAAUUAACAUUAAUAAAGUGAUGAUGAUAUUUUGAAUUCUGUUAGUGAUAUAUGAGAUGUAUAAAAUAGCUCCAGAGUAAAACUUGGCAGAACUAAAAUUAUUUGAAGCAUAUACAUGGUCCUUUCAAAAUGGUUCAACCAA